rnacentral:rRNA from 1 species
UUGACCUCGGAUCAGGUAGGAAUACCCGCUGAACUUAAGCAUAUCAAUAAGCGGAGGAAAAGAAACCAACAGGGAUUGCCUCAGUAACGGCGAGUGAAGCGGCAACAGCUCAAAUUUGAAAUCUGGCUCCUUCGGGGCCCGAGUUGUAAUUUGCAGAGGAUGCUUCGGGUACGGGUUCCUUCCGAGUUCCCUGGAACGGGACGCCAUAGAGGGUGAGAGCCCCGUCUGGUAGGACACCCAGCCCGUGUGAAGCUCCCUCGACGAGUCGAGUAGUUUGGGAAUGCUGCUCUAACGGGAGGUAUACUCCUUCCAAGGCUAAAUACCGGCUGGAGACCGAUAGCGCACAAGUAGAGUGAUCGAAAGAUGAAAAGCACUUUGAAAAGAGAGUCAAAUAGCACGUGAAAUUGUUGAAAGGGAAGCGCUCGCUACCAGACAUGGGUUCGGCGGUUCAACCGGGGCCACGCCCCGGGGCACUCCGCCGGCCCAGGCCAGCAUCAGCUUUCCGUCGGGGGCAAAGGCGUCGGGAAUGUGGCUCUCCUUCGGGGGAGUGUUAUAGCCCGGCGUG